GCUAGCUAUUUGAAUGCACUUGAAGCCGGGCAAAGCCAUUCGUGAGAUUGUGAAGGAGGCAGGUUGAGCAGAUAAAGGAAAGAGUGAGGACAGUAAGAAAAUGAAUGCCACCGAGCAGAUAAAGGAAAGAGUGAGGACAAUAAGAAAAUGAAUGCCACCGAGCAGGUAAAGGAAAGAGUGAGGACAAUAAGAAAAUGAAUGACACCGAGCAGGACAAUGACCCAAAACACACAUCCAGGCUGUGUACAAGGAGAGUGAUACAAGGAGAGUGAUGGUGCUGCAUCAGAUGACCUGGCCUCCACAAUCACCCGACCUCAAACCAAUUGAGAUGGCUUGGGAUGAGUUGGACCUCAGAGUGAAGGAAAAGCAGCCAACAAGUGCUCAGUAUAUGUGGGAACUCCUUCAAGUCUGUUGGAAAAGCAUUCCAUGCGAAGCUGCUUGAGAGAAUGCCAAGAGUGUGCAAAGCUGUCAUAAAGGCAAAGGGGGGCUACUUUGAAGAAUAUAAAAUAUAAAAUGUAUUUUGAUUUGUUUAACACUUUUUUGGUUACCACAUGAUUCCAUUUGUGUUAUUUCAUCGUUUUGAUGUCAUCACUAUUAUUCUACAACGUAGAAAAUAGUACAAAUAAAGAAAAACCCUUGAAUGAG